rnacentral:rRNA from 1 species
AGCGAACGCUGGCGGCAGGCUUAACACAUGCAAGUCGAACGCAUCCUUCGGGAUGAGUGGCAGACGGGUGAGUAACACGUGGGAACGUACCUUUUAGUUCGGAAUAACUCAGGGAAACUUGGGCUAAUACCGGAUACGCCCUUUGGGGGAAAGAUUUAUCGCUAAAAGAUCGGCCCGCGUCUGAUUAGCUAGUUGGUGUGGUAAUGGCGCACCAAGGCGACGAUCAGUAGCUGGUCUGAGAGGAUGAUCAGCCACACUGGGACUGAGACACGGCCCAGACUCCUACGGGAGGCAGCAGUGAGGAAUAUUGGACAAUGGGUGAGAGCCUGAUCCAGCCAUCCCGCGUGAAGGACUACAGCCCUAUGGGUUUUAAACUUCUUUUAUAUGGGAAUAAACCUAUCCUCGUGAGGAUAUCUGAAUGUACCAUAUGAAUAAGCAUCGGCUAACUCCGUGCCAGCCGCCGCAGUAAGAC